rnacentral:rRNA from 1 species
CCUUUUGGUUCGGAACAACUGAGGGAAACUUCAGCUAAUACCGGAUAAGCCCUUACGGGGAAAGAUUUAUCGCCGAAAGAUCGGCCCGCGUCUGAUUAGCUAGUUGGUGAGGUAAUGGCUCACCAAGGCGACGAUCAGUAGCUGGUCUGAGAGGAUGAUCAGCCACAUUGGGACUGAGACACGGCCCAAACUCCUACGGGAGGCAGCAGUGGGGAAUAUUGGACAAUGGGCGCAAGCCUGAUCCAGCCAUGCCGCGUGAGUGAUGAAGGCCCUAGGGUUGUAAAGCUCUUUUGUGCGGGAAGAUAAUGACGGUACCGCAAGAAUAAGCCCCGGCUAACUUCGUGCCAGCAGCCGCGGUAAUACGAAGGGGGCUAGCGUUGCUCGGAAUCACUGGGCGUAAAGGGUGCGUAGGCGGGUCUUUAAGUCAGGGGUGAAAUCCUGGAGCUCAACUCCAGAACUGCCUUUGAUACUGAAGAUCUUGAGUUCGGGAGAGGUGAGUGGAACUGCGAGUG